GCCAGUGUCCUGCUCGCCAUCCCCGCCAUGCUGUCUCUAGACUUUUUGGAUGAUGUGCCACAGAUGAACAAGCAGCAGCUCUAUUAUCAAGUCCUAAAUUUCGGAAUGAUUGUCUCAUCGGCGCUAAUGAUCUGGAAGGGGUUAAUGGUAAUAACUGGGAGUGAAAGUCCAAUUGUAGUGCUGCUCAGUGGCAGCAUGGAACCUGCAUUUCACAGGGGAGAUCUUCUCUUUCUAACAAAUCGAGUUGAAGAUCCCAUACAAGUGGGAGAAACUGCUGUUUUAAGGAUAGAAGGAAGAAAGAUUCCUAUAGUUCACCGAGUCUUGAAGAUUCAUGAAAAACAAAAUGGGCAUCUCAAGUUUUUGACCAAAGGAGUUAAUAAUGCGGUUGAUGCCCCAGGCCUCUAUAAACAAGAACAACAUUCGCUAGAGAAAAAAGAUGUCGUGGGGAGAGCCAGGGGAUUUUUCCUUCUAAAUUUAAGUAUGAAGUGCUCUUUUUGCUGGGUUUAUUUGUGCUGGUCCAUCAUGAGUAAGAAGUCUGCCUUGCUGUUCCUGGGAAGAUGCCACACUUUUCCUUACUGGAUGUUUGGAGUAGAUAUUGGUUUGUGA